rnacentral:rRNA from 1 species
AUUGAACGCUGGCGGCAGGCCUAACACAUGCACGUAGAGCGGAGCGGCGGACGGGGGAGUAAAGCCUAGGAAUCUGCCUGGUAGUGGGGGAUAAAGUCCGGAAACGGGCGCUAAUACCGCAUACUAUCAGAUGAGCUUAGGUCGGAUUAGCUAGUUGGUGGGGUAAAGGACUACCAAGGCGACGAACCUGAACUGGUCUGAGAGGAUGUUCAUUCAAACUGGAACGUAGACACGGGCCAGAUUCCUCAGGGCGGCAGCAGUGGGGAAUAUUGGACAAUGGGCGAAAGCCUGAUCCAGCCAUGCCGCGUGUGUGAAGAAGGUCUUCGGAUUGUAAAGCACUUUAAGUUGGGAGGCGUUACCAACAGAAUAAGCACCGGCUAACUUCGUGCCAGCAGCCGCGGUAAUAC